UCCACUGUUGCGUUUUUCAUACGUACGUAUACGCACGUAAAACUUUAAAUCCGUUUAAAUGUUACUUAUGAAAUAACCAAAUAAAUAAAGUAACAGAAUUUAGUGUUCCGCAAGUUUUAGUAUCCAUUUGUUAACUUGCUUGUAAAAUAUUUUAAAAAAUAGAAUGAUUCAAAGUUUUACGUGCGUGUACGUGCGUACGAAAAACGCAACAGUGGA